AGUGAACGCUGGCGGUAGGCCUAACACAUGCAAGUCGAACGGCAGCACAGUAAGAGCUUGCUCUUACGGGUGGCGAGUGGCGGACGGGUGAGGAAUACAUCGGAAUCUACUUUUUCGUGGGGGAUAACGUAGGGAAACUUACGCUAAUACCGCAUACGACCUACGGGUGAAAGCAGGGGAUCUUCGGACCUUGCGCGAUUGAAUGAGCCGAUGUCGGAUUAGCUAGUUGGCGGGGUAAAGGCCCACCAAGGCGACGAUCCGUAGCUGGUCUGAGAGGAUGAUCAGCCACACUGGAACUGAGACACGGUCCAGACUCCUACGGGAGGCAGCAGUGGGGAAUAUUGGACAAUGGGCGCAGGCCUGAUCCAGCCAUACCGCGUGGGUGAAGAAGGCCUUCGGGUUGUAAAGCCCUUUUGUUGGGAAAGAAAAGCAGCAGGUUAAAACCCCGCUGUUCUGACGGUACCCAAAGAAUAAGCACCGGCUAACUUCGUG
rnacentral:rRNA from 1 species